GACGAACGCUGGCGGCGCGCUUAACACAUGCAAGUCGAGCGAAGCGGCGGACGGGUGAGUAACACGUAAGUAACCUGCCUUAGACAUUGGGAUAGCCUCGGUAAACCGGGAUUAAUACCAAAUGGUCUACGAUGGACUCGCCUCCCAUUAGCUAGUUGGUGGGUAACGGCCCACACAGGCGACGAUGGGUAGCCGGCCUGAGUGGGUGCACGGCAACAUUGGAAUUGAGAGACGGUCCAAACUCUACGGGAGGCAGCAGUGGGGAAUAUUGCACAAGGGAGGGAACUCUGAUGCAGCGACGCCGCGUGAACGAAGAAGUCUUUCGAGUCGUAAAGUUCUUUUAUAUGGGAAGCGGUACCAUAAGAAAAAGCCCCGGCUAACUACGUGCCAGCCGCCGCGGUAAUUC
rnacentral:rRNA from 1 species